ensembl:lncRNA
GUAAAUGACAAACAGUUUAUUCUAAUAAUCUGUAUAUUCCAAUAACCCAAUUAUUGCGGUAAUGUAAACGGGCUCAAUCUGUAAUGUCCAGUGGACUGGCCACAUCUCGCCUUCUUAUCUGCAAGGAGGACCUGUGAAAGGGCUUUCUCCUGCUCCAAGAACCGUGCAACCAUCUGCUGGCGGGACCCCCACCUGGUGGGUGUUUCCGUGAUUAACUGGUGGUGAGGCAAGCCCAGUGCUGCUUGGGCUUUGGCCAGUUCCCUUCUCCUCUUCCAAGAGUUGGAGAAGGCACUCACCACUCUCUUGCAGACACCCACUGCUCUCUCCACAGCCUGCCUUGUGGAUGUUGGGGUGAGGUUUUUUAGAGAAUUCUCUGUUGAAAUCAAAAGAAAAAGUGAUGUAAUAACAUAUUUGACAGCAUAUUUUUUUUCUAUAAUCAUGGAUCACUUGAAUGAGUUAUGGAUUGUUUUAAAAAUUAGAUAGUAAGGGUAUUAUGAUAUGAAUUUAAAUUAAUUUAUUUAAAUGUAUAAAUGUAUUGUAAUAUAAAUAUAUAAUAUAACUAUUACAAUUUUUGUAUUUGUUGCUAUCCCUUUGCAAUAUUACUCUAACUCUAAGCCAGGGCUGGGGAACCUUUUUCAUUCGAGGGGCCACUACAAAUUUCUCCAAUGGCCGUAAAAGUCCUUUGAGGGCUGUACUAUGAACACAAACCAGGAUUGCAGCCACCUUUAAAAUAGACCCCACCUUCUCUAGGUCCCAUGAAUAUAACUUAAUUGUAUUGCAAAUGUAAUUUCUAAGAUUCCUUUACAAAAUUUGUCCAUUUUAAUCAGUGUUUCCCACACAUUGACGAGACUAUGGCGCACCGCCAUAGUCUAAUUUCGACCGCCAUAGUCUCUGCGUGCACAUGAAGUUUUUUUUUUUUUUUUUUUGUCGCAUUGGGAUUGCAUGAGAGCACGAAGUUCGGCUGUCUGCCUGCGACUGUGCCGAAUAGCCUUCUGCAGCCGAAUCCAAGUUGGCAAUCCUUGAACUUUAUUUAAAUGAGUCUGGCGAAUCGUGAUGAUCAGUUUAGCGUGCGUGUGCUUACGUUGCAGAGGGUCUUGAGUUGUCUAAAAAAUAGAGAGAGCGCGACAUAGAGAGCGCGACAUAUGAGCACUACCUUAACAGCAUCCAUGAUCAGUAAGUUAACUAACUGUAAACAUACGAUGCUCACAGAGGUGAUGCAUUUUUAGAUGCAUACUGUUUGAGAACAUAGAACUCCGUUUGACCUAGUGCACACGCAAACAUAAAAACGGAGUUUCAGAGUUUUUAUAAAUGAUCAUUUCCCAUGAUAAAAACUCAGUUUUCGUGUAGCCUAAAUGAAAGGGCAAAACUUAUGAAAACAUGUGUUUUCCCAUAGUGUAAACGGGGGGUUUAUACAAAUGUAUAGCCUAUGAAACGAUUGAGAAGGUGACAUUUAGGCCACGCCAUUGUGUUUAAAUAGGCGCACACUGAAAAAAGGAGAUUGGACAUCUGUUGUGUAGAAUGUAUAUCUGCAGAAAGUGUAAAUAUAAUUAUUACGGUCAUGUUGGGAUAAAGUGAAUAAAUCCAGUAAAUGUAGCCUUUCAGCUGUCUCGCGAUAACCACGCAAUCAUACAUGACGCGCAAAUGCAACUGACGGACUCAGCUCAUUCAGUGGAAGAAUUUUGUCCAUGCGAGUCAAGACACAGUCAUCUCAACUAUGUAAGUAUUCAUGACUAAUAAUAGCUAUCUGGUAAUGAAUUUAUUUGGGGGUUAAAGUAACUAGAUGGCUGGACAAAGGCUUUUUCAAGAAAAAAUAAGUAAAUUAUAGAUUUAAUAUUUUAGCAUGCGAGGCAAUUACGAACCUUCCUCUACCAUUUAAGAUAGCCUACAUGUGACUAGCAAGCAGCAUAGCAUUUCCAUGUUAGUGAAACUAAUGUGUCAAACCUGGCAACAGAGUAGGUUUGUCUGAACUUGUGUAAUACUUUUGUGUGUUACGCUGGCCAUGCACCUGAAAUACGUCGGUUGCAAUUUCGUAUACAAUUGAUUAAUUGCAUCCAUGAUAAAAGUGUUUUUCUGUUGCUGCAGAUUUACAUUUUCUCACGUAGGCCUACACGGCGCUCUGUUACCGUGGGCUCAAGAUUUUUUGGUGAGUAUUACUAGCCUACAUAAAGUUGCGUUGUCCAGUAUGGAAGCCAGCACACUUUUCUAAUAUGCAGAAAGUGUAUAUUACAUUAUUCAGCUUGUGUUGAGUUAAAAUGAAUCAAUCGUGUAAAUGUAAAGUUACAGCUUUCAAAUUAUUUCUGGCGGCAGUCGAGCAUUGUGGCGCGAAAAUGCAUAUCUCAGUCAGCCGUCACUCACUCAAUGGCUUAGCUCAUACCAUAGAGAGAGGGCAACUACUGGUAGUUUUGGCAAAAAGGGUUUGCAUGAAAAUUCGUGAAUUUUUCCCGUGCUAAUUAAUUGUAUAGUUGAUGACCCAUUGCGCAGGUAACCAAUGCAAGUCUGUGUUGUUUGAAUGAUGUGGUUCACCGUAAAACCGAAUUAUUUGAGAAUCACCAGAGGCAUUUAUGCUAGCCACCGACAGAAGGAUGCUAAACUGAUGAUGCUACAUUUGUUUUGUUAAUUCAGAUCAUGAGCGUUUUGAAGUAUUUUAAAAAGAGGGAUCUUAAUUCACCUCAGAAUGAAGAGGUAGUAUCUGAGGAAUGUUUUGCCGUAUUUGCAGGCAGCAUAAGCCACCUGUAAGGAAUGGUCCUACAAAAAGACCCUUUGUGGAGGUUGGUGCUCUCCAUUACAGGAAGGAUUACCUGAAGCACCACAUCAGUACUGAACACCACCAACUGAGCAUGAAAUCCCAGCAGUCAGUCGCAUCAGGAUACUCCAUCAUGUCCACCUUCGAGCCAGUGAUACAUUUGGAGCACGAAGCUAUUAUUGGUGGUUUCAAGUGUCUUUACUGGCUGAUAAAAAAUGAGAUGGCUCACCACACCAAGUACCCCAAAUUGCUUAGUUUAGCCAGACUUUUGGGGUGUGAUUAUUUUGACAAGCUUAAGGUGGACCGCAGGAACAAUUAUCGCUCUCAUCGAAUCAUCGAUGAGAUGCUGGAAAUAAUUUCACAGAUUAUCGAAGAGCCCAUUAUUCAAGUGAUAAGGGCAUCCCAGGCCAUGAGCCUUGAGGUGGAUGAGAGCACGGAUGUGUCCACAUCUCGCCAGCUUGACCUGCAUGUCAGAUACCUGGAUAAUUAGGGACUGGUUUUCAACCAGUUCCUAUACAUUGUCUCAGUCCCUGAUGGGAGGGCUGACACUAUUGUAACUGCCAUUAAAACGGUCCUAAUGAAUAAGAAUAUGCCAACAGAGAAGAUCUAUGGAAUUGGCACAGACGGUGCUGCUGUUAUGACAGGGCGUUUGAAUGGAGUUGUGAAACAACUCACUGAUAGCUUCCCAAGGUUGUUGGUGUUGCUUGUGCUGCUCACCGGCUUGCACUGGCCUGUAGGGAUGCUUCCAAUGGUGUCAGAUACAUGGCAAUUUUCCGAGACCACCUCCAGGACCUGUAUUUGUACUUCCAACACAGUGCAAACCGGACUGCAGCACUGAAGACUGCUGCUACUACCCUGGGACUAGCUGACUUGAAGUUGAAGCAAGUAAAAGAUACAAGAUGGCUGUCCCAGCACCAGGCCAUUGGGGUAUUGCAGCGAAACCUCGCAGCUGUGCUUGCCACAUUAGCUGAGGAAGUUGAAGUGAAACGAUGCCCAGUGGCCAAGGGACUGUACACCUUUUGUGCCACUUACAGAUUUGUGGCAUCAUUAUAUCUGCAGGCAGAUGUACUGCCACAUCUUGCCCGUUUGUCCAAGAUUUUUCAGAAGGCACAUAAAGGAACAGGUUCCCAUCACAAUUGAAACCUUGAGACGCAUCAAGGAUGCCGGCACUUCUCCCCCACAUGGGUCUUUCCUAUCCUGUCUCCAUAGAGAUCUGGAUGACCCCUCAGGACUUGGAGCCCAGUCCAUACAUCAUGAGGAGGAGAGGAACAGGAGAGGACAAAGUCUUGACGACGUACCACGAGAGAAACAGUGGUCAAGAUUUGUGGCAGAUGUUGCCAGUCCUUACAUCAGUGGCCUGAUUCAUCACCUGGAGUGCAGGUUCGAGAAUCUGAAUCUUCUUGGGGCCUUCAGUGUGUUGGGACCACAGGCAACUUCACAAAGUGAUGAGCAGAAUAAUGCCCACCUUAAGAUCCUGGCCAACAAGUUUUUACCUGAGAAUGAGAUCAAUGUCAAUCAGGAGUAUCAGUCCUUCAGAGAGCAUAUCCACAGAGGACAAUUCAAGGACAAGAGCCAGGCUGACAUACUGAGACUCCUAGCAAGUGAGUGCGACGAAUGGGGGCUGAUAUACCCAUUACUCAGCCGCUCAGCAGCCAUUGCCCUUGUUGUGCCGGUGUCAAGCGUGAAUUGUGAAAGAGACUUUUCCACAAUGAACAGGGUGCCUGAUAUAUAGGAAAAACAAAAUACAAUAAGAAGGAAAGAAAACCAAAUACAAAAAUAUAACUACAAGGAUUUUUCAUCUGUCACUACCUCAUAUCAAUAACAGUUUUCUUUCCAGGCCCAUUUUUUUUUUUUUUUUUAAACAAUAAGAACAGUUCAGACAAGGGGGAGUUUCACUAUGCCUCUCUGGGAGAGAUUAAAUAAAAAGAAAAAGGACAAGCAUAUAUAUAUAGAUAUAUACAAAUACAGCCAAAAAAAAAAAAAGAAAAAAAGAAUGCUUCAGACAAAAUCUGAUCGUAAGCCUAUAUGUUCAAUAUACCCAGUCCAUUUAGACCAUAUCCUAGAGAAUGUGUCAGUCUGAAUUCGGAGGGAGUAGGUUAACUUUUCCAUUUUAUAUAUAACAUGAACCACCUCCAACCAUUCUCCUAUGGUAGGAGAGUCUUGUUUUAAC